UACAGAGGUCCCAAGCGUUGUUCGGAUUCAUUGGGCGUAAAGGGUGCGUAGGCGGCGCGGUAAGUCGGGUGUGAAAACUCGGGGCUUAACUCCGGGCCUGCAGUGGGUACGGGCUGACUAGAGUGCGGUAGGGGAGACUGGAAUUCCUGGUGUAGCGGUGAAAUGCGCAGAUAUCAGGAGGAACACCGGUGGCGAAGGCGGGUCUCUGGGCCGUAACUGACGCUGAGGAGCGAAAGCGUGGGGAGCGAACAGG
rnacentral:rRNA from 1 species